GCCCGCUUGGCGCAAUGGUAGCGCAACAGGUUUCUACCCUGUAGGUUGCGGUUUCGAGUACCGUGGCGGGUU
rnacentral:tRNA from 1 species